CUGGCCCUGCCAAAAGUGGGGAUUGUAACAUAUCAUUAAACUUAGUACCAAGGUGUUAUGACUCACCUUGUUUGCCUGGGCCCUGCAUAUAUUUGGUAAUGUGACGUAUGGCUGAGACAAACACCUAGGGCAUGAGAGCCUUGUGCCUGGGUCCUGCCCACAAGGAGCCUUUUGGCUUAUCUCUGCAUCCAUGAACUAGGAGAUGUGACUCUUCUUUUCUGUCUGGGUUCUGCAAAAACAAGUGAUUGUGACAUAUCAUCAAACCCAGCAACUAGACGAUGUGAUUUUUCUUCCCUGCUUGAGCCCUGGAUAUGCUGUGCAUUGUGAUAUAUGGCUGGGUCCAACAUCAAGGAGAGAUUGUGACAUAUCUCUGGAACCAGAACCUUGGUGAUGUGACUCUUCUCUCCUGCUGAAGCCAUGCCCACACAAGGGAAAGUGACUUAUCACUGGGCCCAGCACACAGCGCUAUUCACAGGGAAAAUAGUGACACAUCUGUGGGGUUCUCACCGAAAUGAUGUGACUCUCUUGCCUGGGCUCACCUCUCAAGGGAAUUUUGACAUAUUACUGGACCAAGCACCUAGGCCCUGCAUUUAUUGUGUAUUGUGACAUAUGGCUUGGUCCAACACCUAGGUGGUGUGACUCUCUACUUCUUCCUGUGCCAUGCCAAAGAAGAGGAUUGUGACAUAUCACUGGAUCCAGCACCUAGGUGGAUGGUGACUCUAAGACCAGGAUUCAACACAACUAGAAGGCUUUGACUCUAAUACGAGUCACAGAAGGCUCUGCGACUCUUCUAUUUUCUCUAGGUUAUGCAAAUGGAGGUGGAUUGUGACAUAUCAUAGGGCCAACACAACACACAGUCUACAGGUGGAAUUGGGACUCUCAUGCAUGGAUCCAGUUCAUCAUUGAUACUGUGACUCAGGUGGGAUUUUGACAUAUAACUGCACCCAGCACACAGGUGAGAUUGUGACUCUUGUAUGCUCAUCCUGCCAAAAGUUGAGUGUCACCCUCACACAUGGACAGAGACUUCUGGUAAGGUCUUGAAUCUUGUACAUGGACACAGUCCACAGCUGGAAUGUCAUAUGUAGAUCCAGCCACAGGUGUGAUGUUGACCUAUUUAUAAAGUUAGCUCACAGGCACAUUGAUAACUCUCAUACCUGGAUCCAGCCAAUAAAAUAUAUGUUGACUAUUAUAGCUAGGCUUGAGUAAACUGGUAGGGUCCUGGGUCUUCUACCUGUAUGAGAGUCACAGAAGAUUAUGACACUUAUGGAAAUUACAUAAAGCCCUCUGGCAAUGCAAAGUUUUAUCACGGGGCCCCACACGCAGGUGAGAUUGUGACUUCAAUAUGCAGACAAAGCUAACAGUUAGUAUUGUUACCUUCACAUAUAAACAGAGCCCACUGGUGAGGUUCUAAAUCUCACACACCAAAAAAA
rnacentral:lncRNA from 1 species